rnacentral:rRNA from 1 species
GUAAUGAGGAUAAUUACAAACCUUACCGAAAGCAAUUGGAGGGCAAGUCUGGUGCCAGCAGCCGCGGUAAUUCCAGCUACCAAAAGCGUAUAUUAAGUUGUUGCAAGUUAAAAAGCUCGUAGUUGAAGUUCUGGCUGUAUUGGGCCUCUGCACUCGAUGCGGAGGAACCAGCAGUCAUCCGCUUGACAAAUACAUGUCCUUCCUUAACCGGUAGGCUGUAUAAGUAAGCUACUUUACCUUGAGAAAAACAGAGUGUUCCAGGCAGGUUUGUCCGGAAUGCGUUAGCAUGGAAUAAUAGAAUAUGACUGAAGUCGAUUUAUUGGUUAAAGGCUUUAGUAAUGAUUAAUAGGAACAAUCGGGGGCAUUGGUACUUGUCAGUCAGAGGUGAAAUUCUAGGAUUUGACAAAGACUAACUGAUGCGAAAGCGUUUGCCAAGAAUGUUUUCAUUAAUCAAGAACGAAAGUUAGGGGGAUCAAAGACGAUCAGAUACCGU